rnacentral:rRNA from 1 species
AUGUCACCAUCCCUACUGUACGCUCCAGAUAAAUGCCAGUGCGCCAUCAUCACCAACGUGUCAUCUCAACCACUUCUGGAGCCCAUCACGCCAGAGCAGCAAGUUGUGCAGCUAGGUGAAGUUGUGGAAGCGUCGCCGCUAGCCUUCGAUCCAGCGGCGCCAGCUGACCCCGUGGUGCCAGAUCCAUUGUCUCUCGCGUCGGUAGUGGCUUUGAUGGUGCAAGCUGACCCUAUGGUGGUGGCAGCGCUGUCAGCGAACCAAGACGUGGUUUCAGGGUUUCUAGUACCUGUGGAGGCAUCCCUGUAG